rnacentral:rRNA from 1 species
UACGUAGGCAGCAAGCGUUGUUCGGAGUUACUGGGCGUAAAGGGUGCGUAGGCGGUCCUAUAAGUAUGGUGUGAAAUCUCCCGGCUCAACUGGGAGGGUGCGCUAUAGACUGUGGGACUAGAGUGUGGGAGAGGAAAGUGGAAUUCCUGGUGUAGCGGUGAAAUGCGUAGAUAUCAGGAGGAACACCGGUGGUGUAAACGGCUUUCUGGACCAUAACUGACGCUGAGGCACGAAAGCGUGGGUAGCAAACAGG